rnacentral:rRNA from 1 species
UUAGAGUUUGAUCCUGGCUCAAGACGACCUUUGGCGGCGCGCCUAACACAUGCAAGUCGAACGAGAGAGAGGGAGCUUGCUUCCUCAAUCGAGUGGCGAACGGGUGAGUAACGCGUGAGGAACCUGCCUCAAAGAGGGGGACAACAGUUGGAAACGACUGCUAAUACCGCAUAAGCCCACAGGUCGGCAUCGACCAGAGGGAAAAGGAGCAAUCCGCUUUGAGAUGGCCUCGCGUCCGAUUAGCUAGUUGGUGAGGUAAUGGCCCACCAAGGCAACGAUCGGUAGCCGGACUGAGAGGUUGAACGGCCACAUUGGGACUGAGACACGGCCCAGACUCCUACGGGAGGCAGCAGUGGGGAAUAUUGCACAAUGGGGGAAACCCUGAUGCAGCGACGCCGCGUGGAGGAAGAAGGUCUUCGGAUUGUAAACUCCUGUUGUUGAGGAAGAUAAUGACGGUACUCAACAAGGAAGUGACGGCUAACUACGUGCCAGCAGCCGCGGUAAAACGUAGGUCACAAGCGUUGUCCGGAAUUACUGGGUGUAAAGGGAGCGCAGGCGGGAAGACAAGUUGGAAGUGAAAUCUAUGGGCUCAACCCAUAAACUGCUUUCAAAACUGUUUUUCUUGAGUAGUGCAGAGGUAGGCGGAAUUCCCGGUGUAGCGGUGGAAUGCGUAGAUAUCGGGAGGAACACCAGUGGCGAAGGCGGCCUACUGGGCACCAACUGACGCUGAGGCUCGAAAGUGUGGGUAGCAAACAAGAUUAGAUACCCCUGGUAGUCCACACCGUAACGGAUGAUUACUAGGUGUUGGAGGGUUGACCCCUUCAGUGCCGCAGUUACCACAAUAAGUAAUCCACCUGGGGAGUACGCCCGCAAGGUUGAAACUCAAAGGAAUUGACGGGGGCCCGCACAAGCAGUGGAGUAUGUGGUUUAAUUCGACGCAACGCGAAGAACCUUACCAAGUCUUGACAUCCCUUGACGAACAUAGAAAUAUGUUUUCUCUUCGGAGCAAGGAGACAGGUGGUGCAUGGUUGUCGUCAGCUCGUGUCGUGAGAUGUUGGGUUAAGUCCCGCAACGAGCGCAACCCUUACUGUCAGUUACUACGCAAGAGGACUCUGGCAGGACUGCCGUUGACAAAACGGAGGAAGGUGGGGAUGACGUCAAAUCAUCAUGCCCUUUAUGACUUGGGCUACACACGUACUACAAUGGCGUUAAACAAAGAGAAGCAAGACCGCGAGGUGGAGCAAAACUCAGAAACAACGUCCCAGUUCGGACUGCAGGCUGCAACUCGCCUGCACGAAGUCGGAAUUGCUAGUAAUCGUGGAUCAGCAUGCCACGGUGAAUACGUUCCCGGGCCUUGCAC